GAUGAAGAACGCAGCGAAAUGCGAUAAGUAAUGUGAAUUGCAGAAUUCAGUGAAUCAUCGAAUCUUUGAACGCACAUUGCGCCCUCUGGUAUUCCGGGGGGCAUGCCUGUUCGAGCGUCAUUAUAACCACUCAAGCUUUCGCUUGGUAUUGGGGCUCGCGGUUCCGCGGCCCCUAAAAUCAGUGGCGGUGCCUGUCGGCUCUACGCGUAGUAAUACUCCUCGCGAUUGAGUCCGGUAGGUCUACUUGCCAGCAACCCCCAAUUUUUACAGGUUGACCUCGGAUCAGGUAGGGAUACCCGCUGAACUUAAGCAUAUCAAUAACGGAGGA
rnacentral:misc_RNA from 1 species